rnacentral:tRNA from 1 species
GGGUGGGUGGCUCAGUGGUUAAAGCCUAGGGCUUGGGAGCGAAAGUUCCCGGGUUCGAGUCUCGCAAGAGCUA